AACGUAGGACGCAAGCGUUAUCCGGAGUUACUGGGCGUAAAGGGCGCGUAGGCGGCCUGCUAAGUCGGACGUGAAAUCCCUCGGCUCAACCGGGGAACUGCGUCCGAUACUGGCGAGGCUUGAAUCCGGGAGAGGGAUGUGGAAUUCCAGGUGUAGCGGUGAAAUGCGCAGAUAUCGGGAGGAACACCAAUGGCGAAGGCAGCUCGCUGGGACGGUACUGACGCUGAGACGGCGAAAGCGUGGGGAGCGAACAGG
rnacentral:rRNA from 1 species